GGAGGGCAAGUCUGGUGCCAGCAGCCGCGGUAAUUCCAGCUCCAAUAGCGUAUAUUAAAGUUGUUGCAGUUAAAAAGCUCGUAGUUGGAUUUCUGUUAAUAAUUUAUAUAUAAUAUUUGAUUAAUAUUUAUAUAAUAUUAACAUAAUUCAUAUUACUAAAUUUAUUAGUAUAUGAAAUUUUACUUUGAGAAAAUUAGAGUGCUUAAAGCAGGCAUAUGCCUUGAAUACUCCAGCAUGGAAUAAUAUUAAAGAUUUUUAUCUUUCUUAUUGGUUCUAAGAUAAAAAUAAUGAUUAAUAGGGACAGUUGGGGGCAUUUGUAUUUAACAGUCAGAGGUGAAAUUCUUAGAUUUGUUAAAGACAAACUAAUGCGAAAGCAUUUGCCAAGGAUGUUUUCAUUAAUCAAGAACGAAAGUUAGGGGAUCGAAGACGAUCAGAUACCGUCGUAGUCUUAACCAUAAACUAUGCCAACUAGAGAUUGGAGGUUGUUCCUUACUCCUUCAGCACCUUA
rnacentral:rRNA from 1 species